rnacentral:misc_RNA from 1 species
AAGCAAAGAAAGAGUUUAGGAGAAAUUCACUAUCAUUAUCAAUUCUAAUUUGUUUAAUGGAAUACUGAAAUUGGGUUUUUACCAAUUAAUAAAAUUGAGGUACAAGGAAAGAAACUUUAGCUUCGGAUUUCAUAAAAAAAACCACACAUAUUUGGUAAAAUCAUUAACAGUAGUGAGAAAGUAAUGAUUUCCACUAAUAUCUUUUUGAAAAUAGGGUCCCCAUACAUCCAUAUGUACCAAUUCAAAAG